rnacentral:rRNA from 1 species
UGAGCAAUCUGCCCUUCUCAUCGGAAUAAGCGUUGGAAACGACGUCUAAUGCCGAAUACGACCUCCUUUCNCAUGAUCGGAGGUGGAAAGCUCCGGCGGAGAAGGAUGAGCUCGCGGCCUAUCAGCUAGUUGGUGUGGGUAAUGGCCCACCAAGGCGACGACGGGUAGCCGGCCUGAGAGGGUGAUCGGCCACAUUGGAACUGAGACACGGUCCAGACUCCUAGGGAGG